UGCCUCAAGGCUGGGGAUAACAUUUGGAAACAGAUGCUAAUACCGAAUAAAACUUAAGUGUCGCAUGACACAAAGUUAAAAGGCGCUUCGGCGUCACCUAGAGGUGGAUCCGCGGUGCAUUAGUUAGUUGGUGGGGUAAAGGCCUACCAAGACAAUGAUGCAUAGCCGAGUUGAGAGACUGAUCGGCCACAUUGGGACUGAGACACGGCCCAAACUCCUACGGGAGGCAGCAUG
rnacentral:rRNA from 1 species